rnacentral:lncRNA from 1 species
AAUACAUGUACCUCAAUAAUUUUAUCAAGGGCAUGUUUUGUGCUAGAUACUACUCUUUAUGUUAGGAAUAUAAGCAAUUGUAUAAGAUACUUACAGAUUGCAGUAAGUGGUAAAAAAUAUAACAUGAAGAGGGAAUAGUGAUGAGAAGGUAACUAUAUAGGGGAGUGGUCAGGGAGUGCUUCACUGAAGAUGUAAAAUAUGAACUGAAACCUAUAUCCUGAUUUAAAAUAGCUUUGCAGAUGUUUUAGGUAAAUAGCAGCAAGCGAACAAUACCAAAGAGGGAAUCAGAGCUAUUUCCAUGAAUUAAUGUCUUAAUCCCCACAACAAUGAGGUCGUGGUCAUCUAGUUGUAGAAUGACUCCUGCCUGCUACAUUUCCCCAGAUACCCAGGACCUUCAUGCUGUCACUCUCCAUGACCUGACCAACAUCUAUUUUGAGAAAUUAUUUUAUAUACUCAUUCAAACAGUCAUCUUUUGUGUCCAGAGUUGGUUCCUUCUGGUGGGUUCGUGGUCUCGCUAACUUCAAGAAUGGAGCCACGGACCUUCGCGACACUUCUAUUUAAACUUCUUGGAAGGAUAUCUCAAUAACAUUCCUUUGCUGAGGACCAUAAGAUAGAAGAUGAGAAUCCAUCUGCCCUCUUCUCUGCACCCAGGCUUCAAUCCUGUUUGAUCAUGCAGGGGCUACAAGGCCUUCGACACAAAGAACUUGUCUUAGAUUCUAAUCAGUUUAACAAAUAGGACAGACAGCUGCUGAGCACUGUCUGAGUGACACUGAUUUACAUACAAAUGAACCACCAAUGUCCCCUUCUAUCAACUCAGAAUAAAAUCUGGUUUUAGCAUAUGCAGUCCUACGAGACAUGGUUAAAGGAUAUGAAUGAUAGAUAGAGAUAAAAGAAAUCAAGGACCAUUCCUCCACAAGUCUCCAAAGAGGAAAACAACAAUCGAAGAAAAAAGAGUGAGAGAACA